CAGAACCCCAGCACCUGGGAGCUGCCAAAGUAACCAGCCCUGGAGUCCCUGGGCUCGGGCCUCGGAACUCAUGAAAGAAAAUCAAAUGUUCCUAUUGUUUAAGGAACUUUUAACUGAGAAUUCUAUUUGACUGUGACUUUCAGCCAUGGCAGGGCUCAGUCACCAACUAUUCAUAAGAGGGUAAGGAGACAGAUGCAGGCAGGGAGCGGGAGGAGGGAAUGGGAAUGAGCUGAGCAGCAGCAUCACAGCUGGAGGGCUGGACAUGGAUGACCAGCUCCUCACUUCCAGGUGUUUCCACAUCAAGCAUCCUGCAGACAGCUAACAAGUUCAUUCUACAAAGUACAGUUCUCACCACUUUAUCCUUCCUCUGCUCGGAAACAGUCAAUGGUUUCCCACUGUCCACAGGGGAUGCUUAACGCAUGUGGGUUAUGCAGCUAGAAAGACAAGGCACAACCUCUUUGGUCUCUGCCUCUUUUCAUGGCACAGACACCAAAAGGCCACCCCAGGGAAUGAGGAUCAGAGCAAGGACUUCCUGCUUCCUACUCAAUAUUCUGCGGGCAUUUUCUCCCAGUUCACUAAGUCUAACCUGGGCUACCACUGUGGAAGAGAUUUCUCCUUUAUCAGAAGGCACUUCAGCAAACUACACUCCUGUACAAGUUCUAAUCCCUCUUAACUUGCUAUUUGUAAAGCUGCUCAGAUUUGAGGCCCUGUGUCCCUGGUCCUGACACCCCCUCACCUCCCUCCACCAACACUGCCACCCUCACACCCUGUGUGCUGUCAUAGUUCCUCAAACUCACCCAGCACUGGCCCUCUCUGGGACCCAACCUGGAAGUUCCCUCUACCUAGGAUGUCCUUCCUUAGACCUCUGCAUGAUUGCCCCCUGGCAUAGGUCUUGACUCAAAUGGUUCCCUAAAAAUGCAGCCCACUAGGAAGCCCCAUCCUUCUCCUCUGCCUGAAUUUUCUCCAUCACCUUCAUCACCACCUGGCACACCUGUCUGCUUUUGCACCAUUUCCCAUAGCUCCAUACAACCCCCAAUAGACCAGAAUCUAAGCUCUGUAUGUAUCUUUCUAUGUUCACUGCUAAAUCCCAAGUGUCUAGACAGUGCCUGGCACAAAGUCAGUGCUAAAUAAAUAUUUGUGGAAGGCCUG
rnacentral:lncRNA from 1 species